ensembl:ribozyme RNase_MRP RNase MRP
CGGCAUUCAGAAAGCUUGCACUCUGGGCUACAUGCAGAGAACCUGGUUUCUCCCCUUCGCCCAGGGGAAAGUCCCCGGACCCGUGGCAGAAAGUGCCCUGGUUGAAUCCAGUACCGGUCUGUCGCUGCGCCACCACGAGCUGAGAUGCUCUGCGAGCGGAGCUCGGUGCUCACAGACCGGGAUUGUCAGCAUUCAGAGUAAUGCAAGAAAGCUGUCGAGGCAUCUCAACACAACGGGGCUCAUUCUCUGAAUGCU